GCCGCCGUAGCUCAGCCGGUAGUCCCUGCGCGGGGAACCGAAAGCGCCGGCCUUGUAAGCCGGUGGUCGCGGGUUCGAAUCCCGCCGGCGGCUCCA
rnacentral:tRNA from 1 species